UGCCAGCAGCCGCGGUAAUACGAAGGGGGCUAGCGUUGUUCGGAAUCACUGGGCGUAAAGCGCACGUAGGCUGACUGGUCAGUUGGGGGUGAAAUCCCAGGGCUCAACCCUGGAACUGCCUUCAAUACUGCCAGUCUUGAGUCCGAGAGAGGUGAGUGGAAUUCCUAGUGUAGAGGUGAAAUUCGUAGAUAUUCGGAGGAACACCAGUGGCGAAGGCGGCUCACUGGCUCGAUACUGACGCUGAGGUACGAAAGUGUGGGGAGCAAACAGGAUUAGAUA
rnacentral:rRNA from 1 species